GCUAUGUAAGGCAACCAAUCCAGGAACUGAGUUUGUUGAACAAUCAAAAUUUAUCUUGGACAUUUACAUAAAAAGAAUGGAACAUUAUCCUGCAAAUCACCUUCUUCCAAAUGAUCAACGGCAGGGAUCUUAUUCACCAUCUGAAGAGCUAAAAAUUAAAUAAGGAAGUUAGCGGCAGUAACACAGAUGUGUCAUGACAAUAGAAUAAAUGUAAAAGCGUGUUCUUCAGCAAAAUAAGUGCCUUGCAUUAUUUACCACUAGUGAACAAUUUUGAGCUGAUGAUACCUGGUAUUAUCACUUUCCUUGGUCUGCAAAGAAUCUUGGAUGUGAUACUGUAUUCAUCUUUGGUCCCAUGAAAUGAAAAAAAAACUCAUUAAGGUA